CAUUUUGUUUACUCAUUCAUCUGUCAAUGGACAUGGGUUGUUUCCACCUCUUGGCUAUCGUGAAUAACACUGCUAUAAACAUGGCAGGUAAGCAGCUGUUCGAGCCCCUGCUUUCAGUUCUUUUGAGUAUCCUGAGCUCCCGGGUUCACGCCAUUCUCCUGCCUCAGCCUCCCAAGUAGCUGGGACUACAGGCGCCCGCCACCACACCUGGCUAAUUUUUUGUAUUUUUAGUAGAGACGGGGUUUCACCAUGUUAGCCAGGAUGGUCUUGAUCUCCUGACCUCAUGAUCUGCUCUUGGCUUUCCACUGCAUUUAGAAUGCAAUCGGUCUCCUUCUCUGGUUACUAGCUACCUCCAAACCACCUCUCAGCACUUCCCUGCUGGCUCCCUGAGCAACCCCUAGGGCUCCUUUCUCUUCAGAGGCACCAAGCUCCUGCCCAGCUCUCCCUCCCAGCCCUGACCAUCGCAGCACAAAGAGGUCUUCCCUGACUGCCUGAGCUAUCCGCCAGAGGUCACCUUUAAACUGUCCGUUGUGGAAACCUCUGGAAACAAAUGCUUACACCUGUGAGGACAGCUUUCCACUGUGCCUCCCUGUGUCCCCCUCCCUUACUCAACUCAUCUGACCCUCUUCCUCCCAGCUCAAGCCCCGCCUCCUCCUCCAAGAAGCCCACCCAGCCUGUGGGUUCCCUCUCAGCCCACAGUGCUUCCUCCCUCCUUGGAGUCCCCUGAACCCCCAAGCCAGAGCUGCCUGGCUUGUCUCAGCAUGGUCCCCGUCUGCUGACCCCAGAUUUGCCUGGACGACCUCUCCAACAGACUUGCGCUCGGUUGAAACUUCCUCACUGGUCUGUGCACACCAUGGAAUGUUAUUCUGCUUUAGGAAGGAAAUCCGUCAAAAGCCCCCGCGGGAUGUGGGUGGGGAAAUAGCCACUACAGUCCGGAGUCUCCCCACCCUCACAUGGUGGGAGGGGCCGAGGAUCCCUCCGGGUCUCUUUUAUAAGUCCAUCAAUCCCAUUCAGGAGGACUCUGCCCCACCACCUGUUUGUAUUGUCUCCCAAAGGCCCCACCUCCUAAGACUAUCACUUUGGGGGUCAGGAUGUCAACAUGUGACUUUGUGGAAAAGGGGGUGCGGCAUGAACAUUCAGUCCGUUGCACUGCAGUAGUCAGACUCGUGGAGACAGGAGGUAGAAUGGUGGUGACGGGCUGCAGGAAGGGGGAAUGGGGAGCUAGUGUUUCCUGGGGACAGAGUUUCAGUUUUGCAAGAUGAAAUGUUCUGAAUAUGGAUGGUGGUGACGGCUGUGCACCAUUGUGAGUAUACUUAAUGCCACACUGAACUGCACACUUAAAAAUGUUUAAGGGCUGGGUGCGGUGGCUCACGCCUGUAAUCCCAACACUCUGGGAGGCUGGGGCUGGGGGUGGAUCACUUGAGGUCAGGAGUUUGGGACCAGCCUGGUCAACAUGGUGAAACCCCGUCUCUACUAAAAAUACAAAAAUUAGCUGGGUGUGGUGGCACAAGCCUGUAAUCCUGGCUACUGCGGAAGCUGAGGCACGAGAAUCACUUGAACCCAAGAGGCGGAGGUUGCAAUGAGGUGAGAUUGCACCACAGCACUCCAGCCUGGGCAACAUAAUGAGACUCCAUCUCAAAAAAAAAAAAAAAAAAGUUAAGAUGGUAGAUUUUAUGUUAUGUGUAUUUUAACACAAUAAAAAAUCAAAGGUAGCUAAUUCCCAUUCUGCCCCAAUUUCAGAGAAACACGUGGGCGAAGACAGGGAGGGGUGACUGUCGGUGCUGCCCGGGCCCUGCUGCCUUCCAGAUCUCUGGCACCAGGGCUCUUUCUAGCUCCCUCCCCAGAAGAGGACAUCAGCGACUUGCACAGGCCCCUUCCUGGGCCUGCCUGAACUGCUGGGGGCAAUGGUUGUGGAGAGAACCCAGUGUGUGGGCAGAGAGCAGGCAGCGUGCCCCCUUCCCAUUCUGCUCCAGCAUAUCACUCUUGUUGCAACACAGGAUGAGUGUUCCCACAUUUUGUUUAAUAUUCACACGCUAUAGAGUGCUUCCUCCAGCUCCUCAGUCUUCAGGACAGCCUGGACUCCGGGACUGGUGGUGAGAAGCAGCAGAAAUAACAAGCAUCCCUGGCCCAGCUCGCUGGCCCCUGGUUGCUUUAGGGAGUCCUGUGCCUUCUCUGAGCAGGAAGUCCCUCAUUGAAAAUGAGAGGGUUGGACAAGACGAUCCCUGAGAAGCCUUGGAGUGCCAGCUUUCUGAGAACUGGCCUGGCACAAAUGCCCCAUUUAGUACACACGAAGCCAAAACAGAGAGGAACAGGGCCCCAGCAGGAGGAGUCAGCGAGCCGGCCCAGAGCACGCUUCUUAGAAAAGGACACGCUCAGGGACAAGGGCACCAUGACCUUCCCAAAGGCACAAAGGGCACAGGGCUCUGCAUCUCCUGUUUGUUCCCGGUAGAACAUCUCGCUGUCCCGGGAGAAUAUAUGAGGAGUGCAUAAAUAUACAGCCCCGCACUGCUUCCUGGGCUCUUGUGUGAUUCCAGGGCCUGUUCUCCAGCAGCUGUGAGCACCCACCCAGACCCCACUGGCCUGGGGACGGCCAUUGAGCCAGUCCCACCUGUGAGCCCUUCAGCGAUUCUCUGGCCCCCAGCCCCACCUGUCUGUCCACUUUUCCUGGCAGGCUGGUUAGGGGAUAAAGCAGAUGCACGGGACACUUUACUUGCCCCUUUCCCGUCCACCCCAGUUCAACCCUCCAGGUUACCCUCCGGCAGCAGAGCCACCCCUGCCCAGGACGCGCACUGCCUUCCAUUAGGCAACAGUUUCAUGAGGCAUUUGCCGUCCUCAAGAGGCUGACGUGACAGUGCCUGAUUCACAGAGGCUUCCCUCUGACCCAGGUCUAGCUGGCUCCCCAGUGGGACACCCCAGGGCCUUUCCUGGCCCAGAUCUGCCGCUCUGGGCUGUCCUGAGUGAGGAACACCUGAAUAAGCCACAACAUCAAGGAAAGGACCAUGAGGAUGGGAGCACCCGGGAGCAAGCCCCUCCCUGAGCCUUGGAAACCCCGUGACUCCUAUUUUCCAUGUCAUUUUCUCCAUCAUGGAAUGAACACUUAGAAACUGGAAGCUCGUGAGCAGAAUGAUUCUGUCCUAGAGCCUGAAGGCGUGCAUCAGGGCUGGGUCCUUCCCUGCAGCAUAGCUUCUAAACCAACGAUUGAUAUCUUCAUUUACCAGCACGAUAAAAAAGGAAUUCGUUUUCUUAGAAGCUGUGCCUGUCACUCUGCUCAGAAACAGUCCAAGCAGCCGUUCCAAGUGUGGCCUUCAGCCCAUGCCAAACUUAGAUCAACUGCAGGCUUGGAGCUUUCUGAGGCGAGAAUGGAAGUAUGUGUGCUGCAGUGGUGUGUGUGGGUGUGCACUCGUGUUUGUAGGUAGCAUUUACACACACCCACCGUGGGCAUGUACAUGUGUCUCCCUGUGCCAGUAUGCUGAGAGCUUCAGGACAUGGCAGGCACUCCACAUGCAGGGGAUGGAAAAGCCAUCACAUUUAUUGUCUGUCCUUGUGCGGUAUUUAAAAUACAACUGAGAAUGUGUGCAGAUUUUUAAAUGUUACUGGACCACUUGGGUUUUUUUUGAGACCGGGCUGACUCUGAGCCAGACUGCAUCUGUCUGCGUUGAAAGGGACCAUUCUUUCCCUCCUGCUCCCGCCCUGCCCCCUCCACACACACCCUCCUUCAUGUGAAACCCGAGCAUUUCCUUUCCCGUAAGCCUUCUUCUAGAAGCCUGUGCUCAGCACAGGGGCCAAGCCCUGCGGCUCAGGCAGGCCCACGUGACUCUUGAACUGCAGACUCAAGUCCCAAGGUGGGAAACCGUUUGUCAACGGCCCCCAGAUUUACAACCACGAGGCCAGGCUGGUCUUGGGGUGCAAAGCCAUUGUUCAAACCAUCAGUCAUGCAAGGAGUUCCUAGGAUUUUUUAUUUUCCCCUCCAAAAAGCUCUCUUCAGCUUUGAAGAAAUGCUGUUUCCUCCUCUGGUUACUUCUGCCUGAUGAGAAUGCUGAUCUGGGGAUCCAAGUAAAGGGUGGACCACAGAGCACCUUGUCUCUGUGUAAAAGGACACCCCUGUUACUCAGCGUGCCUGAAAGUGCCUGAGUGUUUCCCAGUCCUCAUCAGUGUAAUCUUAAGCUAGAAGUUCCCCUUGGGCAAUGCAUCAGGUCUUCCACUUUUUUUCCAAUAGACACCAUGGGCCAUACUUCCUAAAAUACAUGUUUCUAAAUCUUCUACUUUUUUUGAAAAACAAUUUUGAAUCAUUAAAGAAAUUUUUGAAAAUAGCUUUCUAUAACCCACAACACCUCUUUGUGAACCCCAUGAUUUUCAUUUGUUGAAAUUUUCCGAUUCUGACCAUGGGAAUGUGUGUCUUACCAAAUUUCAACCAGACAUCCAGUGUUUCCACCUAACAUGCCAUUUAAAGCCACUUCCAUAUUCAAUUCAGUCUGCGCAAUUCUAGUUCCAAACGCUCGGUUUCUGUUCCAUUCAGAGAAUGUGCUGAGAUUUCUUCUGUCAUUCCCUUAUUCCUGGACAUUUAGGUGCAACAAGUGUAGACGGGUUGUUUUUUCCACUGAAUCAUUUCCUUCAGAUGAAUU
rnacentral:lncRNA from 1 species